GCGCCCUUCCGCCUCACGGCCGACGCUCUACCCCGGCGCCCCGCGCCGCCGCUCUACCCCGGCCCCGCCGCCCUGACGCCUGCCCGGUCUCGGCCCCCCGCCGAUCCCGCCCGGGCCGCCCCGCUCCCGCCGGUCCUCGUCUGCCCACCCUCCCCAGCCUCCACCCCGUGCCCUCACCGUUGCGGCAGACGGCGGGCUGCGGGCAGAGCGGGCUGUUGCAGGGCACGCUGGGCCGCAGGCAAGGAGACCAAAGUACAGGAGGAUUGAAUAAUUGCCCCAGGCCACACACUCAAGCAAGACUUGGAACCCAAGCAGUUUGGUUACAGAGUCCAGGCAGUAAUGACCCAGCCAUGCCACCUUUCUGCUGGUAAACGGCCAGGUGUCGUUCUAGGUGCUGGAUAUAUGGUGGCAAACAAAACAAAGUCCCUUUCCUGGCGGACCUUGUGUUCUACUGGACACAGGGGCCACAGGCCUUUCAGCAUUGCUGGAGGACCCAGUGCAGAGCAGGGAGUGAUGGUGGAGGAAGCUGAAGAGGAGGAGGACAGUUUGUUUUACGUGGAAGAGUUGAGUUGAUACCCUACCUACUUCCACAAAGGACCUGAGGCACAUAAAAAGGUAAGGAUUUGCCAAAUCAAACUACCACUGGGCAGGAAUCCCCGACCCCGUCCUGAGAAGAAGAUUCUUCUGCUUCCCCCAGAGGCUCUUGGUUGCUGCAGGGAGACUGCCAACACUGCUGGAGAAAAGAGGCUGCUCCUGGACCCUGUGUACUCCUAGAAAUCCCCUUGGGUUGAUUCAGUAAUUGGAUUUUGACUCAAGGCUGUGAGUGGAGAGCCUGGUACAUAGUGAGAACUUCAUAAGUGCUUGUUGAAUGAAAACAUGAGGGUGAUGACUUUAUCUGUAAAAUAAAGGAGUGGCUAAUCCCUCUGAGCUUUGACUUCAGCCUAAGAAUGAGUGGCAUUAUGAACUUCCUGGAAAGUAAGAUGGUUCCUAUACCAACACCCUGCUCAAUUUAAGUCAAAGGAUAAAAUGUCACAAGUAAAACCAUGUGCCUGGGCUUCCCUGGUGGCGCAGUGGUUAAGAAUCUGCCUGCCGGGCUUCCCUCGUGGCGCAGUGGUUGAGAAUCUGCCUGCCAAUGCAGGGGACACGGGUUCGAGCCCUGGUCUGGGAAGAUCCCACAUGCCACGGAGCAACUGGGCCCGUGAACCACAAUUACUGAGCCUGUGCGUCUGGAGCCUGUGCUCCGCAACAAGAGAGACCGCGAUGGUGAGAGGCCCGCGCACCGCGAUGAAGAGUGGUCCCCACUUGCCACAACUAGAGAAAGCCCUCACACAGAAACGAAGACCCAACACAGUCAUAAAUAAAUAAAUAAAUAAAUAAAAGAACGUAAAUUUCUUUAAAAAAAAAAAGAAUCUGCCUGCCAAUGCAAGGGACACGGGUUUGAACCCUGGCCUGGGAACAUCCCACAUGCUGCGGAGCAACUAAGCCUGUGCACCACAACUAUUGAGCCUGCGCUCUAGAGCCCGCAGGCCACAACUGCUGAGCCCAUGUGCCCUAACUACUGAAGCCUGUGCACCUAGAGCCCGAGCUCCGAAACAGGAGAAGCCACGACAAUGAGAAGCCCGCGCACCGCAGUGAAGAGUAGCCCCUGCUCACUGCAACUAGAGAAAGCCCACGCACAGCAACAAAGACACAAC